AUCGCUUCUCGGCCUUUUGGCUAAGAUCAAGUGUAGUAUAUUUUUAAGUUUUUAUUUAAAUUCCAGUUAGUUAACGUACAGGGUAAUAUUAUUUUCAGGUGUACAACACUUCCAUGUAUCACCCUGGGCUCAUCACAAGUGCACUGUAGUAAUUAUCAUCA
rnacentral:snRNA from 1 species